rnacentral:rRNA from 1 species
GAUGAACGCUGGCGGCGUGCCUAAUACAUGCAAGUCGAGCGAACAGACGAGGAGCUUGCUCCUCUGACGUUAGCGGCGGACGGGUGAGUAACACGUGGAUAACCUACCUAUAAGACUGGGAUAACUUCGGGAAACCGGAGCUAAUACCGGAUAAUAUAUUGAACCGCAUGGUUCAAUAGUGAAAGACGGUUUUGCUGUCACUUAUAGAUGGAUCCGCGCCGCAUUAGCUAGUUGGUAAGGUAACGGCUUACCAAGGCAACGAUGCGUAGCCGACCUGAGAGGGUGAUAGGCCACACUGGAACUGAGACACGGUCCAGACUCCUAAGGGAGGCAGCAGUAGGGAAUCUUCCGCAAUGGGCGAAAGCCUGACGGAGCAACGCCGCGUGAGUGAUGAAGGUCUUAGGAUCGUAAAACUCUGUUAUUAGGGAAGAACAAAUGUGUAAGUAACUAUGCACGUCGUGACGGUACCUAAUCAGAAAGCCACGGCUAACUACGUG